rnacentral:tRNA from 2 species
CGGGGUAUAGCGCAGUCUGGUAGCGCACCUGCUUUGGGAGCAGGGGGUCGUGGGUUCAAAUCCCCCUACCCCGACCA